GAAUGCUGGGACUAAAGCCAUACGCCACCAUUGUCUGUUUUAUUUUUAUUUUUACUACUAUUUAUGAAUGUGUGUCUGUGUAUGUAUGGCAUGUGUGUGUACAGGUGCCCACAGAAGCCCUUGGACCGGGAGUGACAGGCAGGAGCUGAUCUCAAACCCUCCAGAAGAGCAACAAGUGUUCUUACCUGCUGAGCUAUUUUCUCCAACCCAUGUUGACUUUUAUUUCUCCUACUUUUUAAUAGUUAAGAAAAAUCCUUGGUUGGGCAACUGAAUGACAAAACUCUCCAUGCCCUUCAUGUGGACUCACUGAUUUGCAACAUUUUGCCUCCUUUGCCUUGGCCGUUUCUCACGUUAGUUUUUCUUUUGGACAGUGUGAAUGUAAGUUGCAGACCUCCUAACCUUGGUACGCUUCUCCCAUGAAGAAGGUGGUCUGCAGAGGGCCAGUAGCACCACCUCACCGUGAAAUACAGUACCAUGGUGAUGCUAUUAGUGUAAUAAGCACACACGGCCUUCUGAUGGUCAUGGCAGGGCAAUAUCAUGGAGAUGGAAGAACUCCCUUACCCGGUUGCUCUUUCCUUUUGUAGAAGACACUGUAAAAAUAGUUUGCAGUUGGAAAACAAAUGAACAGAACCCUUGUGGCCUUUCAGACAUAUUUUGUUUUGGUCUGUCCCUUUCCCUACUUCCCUUCUCCACCCCCGCCCUGCACAAUCCACUUUCUGGUUACAUGGUCUAUCACCCACCCCUCCCCUCUCAUGCGUCCCUUUCUAGUUUCCUGAUUUCUAGCCACCAUCACUCCCACAUAAACACAUAUAUAUCAACACUAGAACACAGGUCUGCACGAGAAGCAAGAACAUGUGUUAUCUAUAGACUAAUAUUUUUUGAAGAGUAUUAACUAGCUAUUGUACAUCAUGGCCUUAGUAUGUUUUUUUUUUAUCAUUAGAUUCUUAUUCUUAGGUCUAUAUUAAACACUUCUGGUGAUUUAUCAUAUACACUACAAAUUAUUGGUAAGUAUAUGAUAUAAAUUUGCCUCAUUAUUCUGAUUAUAAAUUGAAAUCACAUGCACGUGGGGUCAUAUUGGUCAGAUUGUCCCUUGUGAUGAUGUGGCUUUAUGUUUAAUAAUAUAUGGAUCAUAAAAAUUUCCCUUAAUGGGUUUAGCAGUUGGUGAUGCUUGGUUUGGUUUCUAUGGAAAAAGAUAAAUAUACAAACACAAAAGAGAAGUAUUUGUAAGAAUACACCAACCCACAUAAAUGUAGGUUACUGGCCUCAAAUGGAUUUGUGAAUCCUUAAAGCUUAUACAGAAGGGUGAACUAUUAAAGUCUCAACAUUUUCCUUGUACAUGUCAUCACGUAUAUCCUUUUCCUUCCCAUCACUUGAGCAGAGUCAAUUUUUAUUGCAUAUGAAUCCCUUUUUAAAAAAGGGUUUUCCUGUUUUUAGUUUAUAUAUGAGUGCUUGCCUGCAUGUAUGUACACCACAUACAUGCAAUGCCCACAGAGGUAAGAAGGGGACUUCAGAUCCCCUGGAACUGGAGUCAUAGAGGUUGUGAGCUGCCACAUGGGUGUUAGGAACUGAACCCAAGUUCUCUAUAAGAGCGGUCAAUGCUCAUAACUGCUGAGCCAUCUCUCCAGCUCCUGAAUACAUAUUUCUUAAACAACAAUUUUAGUAACCCUUAUGAAUUGUUCAUUUAAGUUUGUCUCAAAAGAGGAAACUCAUUGUGACAUUUCAGUUUGGAUAGUCUGAGUACAUCUAAUGUUCAGAAACAAAACCAUCAGACAAGGAGCUUUGUACAUGGGUAUCAAAAUGCAAAAGAUCUAAAAUUCUGGGAUUGGAUUUGUAGUCACACCAUACACAGACACAGACACAGACAAACAUGCACACAAAAACACACAUACAGACAUACAGACAUAUACACACAGAGACCCAUACCAGGCAUACACACCACACACAUGUAAACACAGACACACACACAAUGCAUUCAUCAAUGUACAGUCAUCACGUACACACUCACUACACACAUGUGAAUACAUACACAUACAAACGCUAAUGCACAUGCACUUAUGCACACACAGACACUCAUGUACACACAAGUACACACAUGUACACACAUGUGCACACUAGGUAUGAACUGCCAUCUUACUGUAUCUGAAUUAGUGCUUUUGCAAUUUCUUUUCAUGGUGUUUCUUUUCUUUUCUUUUUUCUUUUUUGGUUUUUUGAGACAGGGUUUCUCUGUGUAGCUUUGGAGCCUAUCCUGGCACUUGCUUGCUCUGGAGACCAGGCUGGCCUCGAACUCACAGAGAUCCAUCUGCGUCUGCCUACCCUGCUUCAUGGUGUUUCUUGAAGAUCAAAUAGUUUUAUGUAUGAGGAGCAUAUGAACUACCAUGUUUUAAGCAGGAAUUCUUCAGUGUGAGCGCUCAAGUCAUCUAUUUUAGUCGCCUGGAAUCAGCAGCUCUGCUUCCUCGCUUUGAGUAGUGGCUACAUUUAACCUUUCUCAUUUCUCUCGCUGGUUCUUUAAAUUUCAAGUCUCAGACUCACAGCAGAAUGGAUUGUGGCUAUUCUAAUAUGUAUCUAUUUAGCCCUUAAUGUUUAAUAUCCAUUUGCAGGUAAUUAUUAGGGAAAAUGGAUAUUAAAUUUUAUAUUCUCUAAGCCCUAAAAUCUAUGUAUAAAUGCAGAACCCACUUUAAGAAAAAUAAAGUGACCAAGGAUUCCCCAUUUCAGGUUCCAAAGUAAGUAAUAGCUGUAAGUAAAUUUAGAAUACUUUCUAACUAAAUUUUCAUCCACAAGAGAAUCUAUUAAGUCUUGAGAGAUCUACUAAGGAAACUGAAUUUAUGGGGAGAGGGGUAGGGACGGGAGUUAUUUAUUGAUCUUGCCUUUCCUGAAUCAUUUAGCCAAAUGAAACCACUUUGCCUAUGGUCUGUAGUUGGGGGUUUUAGCCUGUGAUGGGAACCUGAGGGGACCAUAGAGCUGACAUUUUUAGCAUUACCUGUGAAGGACAGUAUAGUGCCAAUCAAGAGUGUCCCUGGAAGGUUCAUAUGUAAUAGCACUUGGACACUUAGUGCCUGGUCCUGUGGAGGUACUGGAAACUUUAAGCAGAGGAUUCUAGUGGGGGAGGGAUAUAAGUUUCUGUGGGUGUCCCUUGAAGAGAAUAUUGGAACCUUGUCCUCUCUCUUCUUUCCUGCUACUGUGAUGUGAGCAGAGAGAGAGAGGACACUUCAUGGGUCCUGCUAACUAGAAAGUCAACAUCUUAUCUGUGCUUGGUUGUCUAGAUAGUCAACUGUCAAAGUAUAAUUGCCCAACCUCUGGACCCCUGCCAUUAGUGGGGCCCAUUAAAAUCUCUAAAACAUGGAUAAUAAAUGCCUCCAUGAUCCAAAGUUCUCUGAUUCUAUAUGUAGAAGUUUCUUUAGGCAGCAGGGAGAAGAGGGUCGAGUCUCUGGCCCACACUGCAUUACACUUGCACCCAGAGAAUCAGCCCUAGGGGGGUCUUGUUUGGCUUUUACAAACCAUUUCUUAAAGGAUUCUAUAAUUUACAACUGAACAAAUGGGUUUUGGGGGAGAUAUUACAAAGCUGAACAACCCGGACUUUUAGCCUCUUGCUUUGGGAGGUCCCAACAAUCCAUCGAGAAAGAGCAACACAAAAAACCCUCUGAUUAGCCCCUCCCCAUCCCACCCUCCCACCAGCCUGAAAGGUCAGUCUUGUGGGACAUUGAUGGGUCUUCCUGCUACAAGGCAAAGUAAUACCACUGUGCAUGUGCCUUUUGGGGUCCUUGAGUCACUGUAAAUUCUAUGUAAACGGUUGGAUUUGACAAGGAGGAGUUGUGGAAGGCAGGCUACUGGGAAGGGUCGAUGUUGGGUUGAAUUUGGCACCAAUCGCUCAUCCCUGACAGCUCAAGUGCAAGACGGUGGAUGAGCUAUAGGACCCAUGAGCUUCCUCAGUCAGCAAAUGCAGGGCCCAGAGUCACAUUUAAUUCAGAAAUCCCUGACAGCCCUGCAUGAAGUGUGAGCUGUAAAGACGGAGAGACUGAGACUGUGUGCACAAGUGAGCCAUUACUUCCUUUCACUAGACUUUUGGAAAACCCAAACCAAGACGAUAUGGACCCCAGCACAUCACCAAGAGAUCAGCAUUAGUGACUCCAAGAAGAUAUUCCAGGUGUGACACCAAGGCCACAUGAUUUUAAUGAUUGACAGUUAACAGGAAAAUUAAUGAAGAGUUAGAAGACACAUAAAAUUCUACACAAUUUAUCUUAAAUCAUGCAAAUCCACACUCAUACAAACAAACUGCAAUUAAGAGAAAUGUUGGGCAGGCAAGAGGGCCCAGCAGGUUUAAGAACCUACUAGCAAGCCUGAUGAUCUGAGUUCAAUCCCCUGAACUCACAUGGCGGGAAGAGAAAACAGACUCCAAGUUGUCUUGUGACCUCCACAUUUGCACACACCCAUCAAACUUGGAUGCACACACAUAUAAUAAAUGUUAAAACUCCCAAUGAGAAAAAGUGUUAAGGCCAGGCAGUGGUGGGGAAUGCCUUUAAUCCCAGCACUUGAGAAGCAGGUGGAUCUAUGUGAGUUGGAGGCCAGCCUGAUCUACAGAGUGAGUUCCAGGAUAGCCAAGGCUACACCGAGAAACCCUGUCUUGAAAUAAAAAACAAAAACAAGCAAAAAACAACAAAACAAAACAACACCAAAAAUUUAUUGGAAUAGUUUAAAAUGUGAACAGAAUACUGGGUUUGUAAAAUGCCUUUAUUUCAGUCCUGGCCCUGAGACUGUCUUGUGCCUGAGAUAUCAUCGUUGUGGUUAGCUGCCUUUUGAGCCCCAUCUCUAACCUUAAGUGCUUUGACACAUGGCCCUCUGCGUUCGUGGUUGAUUGGCACAAUCAUCCUACAUACACAGCGUCCCUUGAGGCAGUGGUGGCACAAGGCCUCAGUAGGGUUGAGGGGCCUGGCUCUGUCAGCUUCUGUGUCUGGCAGUUCUCUAUGUCCGGGUGCAUCCACAUCUUGGGAAUCACCUAAAACCAGAAUGAUCUGCAGAGACCUCAAGGAAGAUUACCAGCGCCAACUCAGUGUUAUUCUGUGGGUCUCAUCCUCCAUGACAGGGCUUGGUAGACUCUGGUCUCCGAGACAAAUCUAGAUGUUGAUAGUAUUCAGAAAUGAUGUGUUCUUGGAGCACAGCUGUGUUUACUUAUUUUAAUAUUCUCUCUAACUUCUUUCCUGCCACAGUGGCAGAAUGAAGUAAGUUGCUGUAAAAGAGACCUCCACAACUCACAAAACAGCCACAUUUACUAUCUGAUCAUUCAUAGGACAAAUUUACCAAUUUUUGCUGCAGUUGGCUAGCCUUGGGAUAUCACCAUGAUUAUGACAAAGAAAUAGGGGAGGAAAUGGAGUCCUAUAAACUGCCUUCCAAGAAAACAUCAGUCUGUCAUGCCAACUAACAUGCCAAUAAACGAAGAAAGUCCUAUGCCAUACAGCUGACCUCAAAAUCAAAGUGUUUAGACUCAGGUUCCCGAGUGGCAGCAACCUCAGCAUCACAAGGCACAGGCAACAGAUGACUCACCUCCUGCUCUCUCCAUUACAGUGAAGUAGAUGAUGGAAAUGGUCAGUGACCCUGAAAAUUCUAUCCUGGAGGAAAUGCAAUUAAUUAACAAGAUCUGAGUGCAUUUUCUUUGGAAUCUGGAGGUCUGAAUAUCUUCAUCAUGGGUAUCCUUGUCUCUUAACACUGAAAUUGUAAAUGAAGUGUUUGGCAGUCUGGAGAGAUGGCUCAAUGGUAAGGCACCUGCUGUGUAUGCAUGAGGACCAGAGUUCAGAUCCCCAGUACACAGGCAAAAGCCACACACAGUGGUACUUGUCUAUCAGCCCCAUGAUGUAGGAGUGGAGACAGGUCAUCCCUGAAACUUCCUAGUCAACCACUCUAGCUUAGCUGGUGAGUUACAAUAUUGGUGAAACAAAUAAAUUGCUGAAGAUUGGU